UACGGAGGGAGCUAGCGUUGUUCGGAAUUACUGGGCGUAAAGGGCGCGUAGGCGGCCAUGCGUGUCUUCCGUGAAAUCCCUCGGCUUAACUGAGGACGUGCGGAAGAAACUGCAAGGCUCGAGUCCGGGAGAGGAGGGUGGAAUUCCCAGUGUAGCGGUGAAAUGCGUAGAUAUUGGGAGGAACACCGGUGGCGAAGGCGGCCCUCUGGACCGGUACUGACGCUGAUGCGCGAAAGCGUGGGUAGCAAACGGG
rnacentral:rRNA from 1 species